GACGAACGCUGGCGGCGUGCUUAACACAUGCAAGUCGAACGGAAAGGCCCUGCUUUUGUGGGGUGCUCGAGUGGCGAACGGGUGAGUAACACGUGAGUAACCUGCCCUUGACUUUGGGAUAACUUCAGGAAACUGGGGCUAAUACCAGAUAGGAGCUCCUGCUGCAUGGUGGGGGUUGGAAAGUUUCGGCGGGUGGGGAUGGACUCGCGGCUGAUCAGCUUGUUGGUUGGGUGGUGGGUGACCAAGGGAUUGACGGGUAGCCCGCCUGGGAGGGUGACCGGGGACAUUGGUACUGAGGUACGGACCAGUCUGCUACGGGAGGCAGCAGUGGGGAAUCUUGCACAAUGGGCGGGAGCCUGAUGCAGCAACGCCGCGUGCGGGAUGACGGCCUUCGGGUUGUAAACCGCUGUCGCCUGUGACGAAGCGGUAGUGACGGUAAUGGGUAAAGAAGCACCGGCUAACUACGUG
rnacentral:rRNA from 1 species